rnacentral:rRNA from 1 species
GAUGAACGCUAGCGGCAGGCUUAACACAUGCAAGUCGAGGGGUAUAUGUCUUCGGACAUAGAGACCGGCGCACGGGUGCGUAACGCGUAUGCAACCUACCUUGAACAGGGGAAUAGCCCAGAGAAAUUUGGAUUAAUGCCCCAUGGUAUUUUGAGAUGGCAUCAUCUUAUUAUUAAAGAUUUAUCGGUUCAAGAUGGGCA